AUGAGUUGUGAUGGGGUUCGAUGCUGGCAGCCAAUUUUUGGAUGCAUGUGCUUGCCCUAACAAUCAUCUUCCAAACACCUGUGCACAUUUUUGAGGGAGUUUUGAGUUGAUUGCCGUUUUUGGGUGAUUUUCUUGCACUCCCUUAAAUCAAUUAUACGCUAUUAACAAUGUUGAACGUGCUCUGUGCCGCGAGGCCAUUGAUAUAAUA
rnacentral:misc_RNA from 1 species